AAGAUUCUGUGGUGUGCGUUGGCUAUGAUAAUUCAACCGACAUAACAGACAUGGGUGUCUGAGUUUAUUAUUGGAUAACAAGCCCCUUUUAGGGGAAGUUAGAAGAUAAUAACAGGAACCCCCCUUUUAAAAAAGGCGGGCAUGAAUUAGAUUAGAUGACGGCAUUAUGGAUAUUUA
rnacentral:other from 1 species